CCUACGGGAGGCAGCAGUGGGGAAUAUUGGACAAUGGGCGAAAGCCUGAUCCAGCAAUGCCGCGUGAGUGAUGAAGGCCUUAGGGUUGUAGAGCUCUUUUACCCGGGAUGAUAAUGACAGUACCGGGAGAAUAAGCCCCGGCUAACUCUGUGCCAGCAGCCGCGGUAAU
rnacentral:rRNA from 1 species